GAGUCUCUCUCUCUCUCUCUCUGCUGCCCAGGCUGGAGUGCAGUGAUCCAAUCGCAGCUCACUACAGCCUCAACCUCUAGGCUCAAGCAAUCCACCCCCACUCAGCCUCCCCCAUAGCUGGGACCAUAGGUGUGCACCACCAUGCCCAGCUCCUUUUUUUUUUUUUUUUUUUUUGUAGAGACUGGGGUCUCACUAUGUUGCCUGGCUGGUCUUGAACUCCUGGACUCAAGCAAUCCUCCCACCUCGGCCUCCCAAAGUGCUGGGAUUAUGGGCAUGAGCCACUGCAGAUUCAGAUUUUGAGCACUUGUCUGGCUGAUUUCAAAGCCUGUCCUCUUUCCACAAUCAGGUCUUAAGUCAUAUCCUGAAGAGUUUGUCAUUGCUUUUCCAGGAAUCUGAUCCCUUCUGGUCAGGCUGGGAAGGUCUGGGCUGCCAGUGGUGUUGCAGAUGGUGUUGCAGCUCCCAGGCAGCUGAUGGAGGUGUGGAAUGAAGAGUGUGAGAGAUGACAGAGGCAGGCACGGCAGUGCUACCCAGCAGAGCCGGCUGACAGAGGUGGGGAUGCUGCAGUGGAUUGUCCAGCAAAUAGAGAUGCCAAGGCUGAGGCUUGAUUCUCUCAGACCUUCUGCCUCUGGCAGCAAGAGUGCUGGACCCGGAGCUGCGUGACCUUCACCAGGUUCCAUUUCUCAUCAAUGGGGGAGCAGGGUGACUGUACCCAAGGACUGCUAAGGUUUUCUCCAGCUCUGAAAGUCCCCAGUUCUCAACCAGUGAAAGGUCUGACGUUUCCCAUCCCUCUUUGCAAAUCCUGGGCUGACGACCAGGGAUCCAAGUCCCUCAGCCCAGCCAAGGCGACAGAAAGCCUGACUUUCCCAGCCCUGAAAAGAGCUGACGGGCUGUUCUCUGGGCUCCCCUCGGCAGCAGCAUUGACAAGGGCUGGGAGAGGGACACUGGCACAGGAGACUUCUCAAGUUGCUCCACAAAGGGCCUCUUUUUCCCAGGCACAGUGACAAAUACUGCCGCUCCCUCUGGCUAUAAAGGCCGGGGGUGCAGAAAAGGUUCCCAUGUCUGAACUCUUAAGAAAGUUGCAAGCAAAGAAAAAAAUGCGUACGGGCUUUUGGCUGUGCUUUUUGACUUGAUGCCAGAUAGCCGGUGGGUUCAAAAUUACAUCACUAUUGACUAUCUGAGUUGUUUCUCUGUUUGACCUUCUUGGAAGAAUGGUUACCUUGGCAACAGAUGGUUAUCAGUUCCUCAACAAUUUGUGCCAAGGAACAGUUUCCUGCAUGCUGAAAACCAGUGGCCUAAAAGCUAGAUCUGGCCGGCCUCACCCUCCCAGGUCUCUGAGCGGAUUGUGUAGUAGGGACAGUCCCUGACUUACAACAUUUCCACAGAUGAUUUUUCGACUAUAUGGUGGUGCAAAAGCAGUACAUGCUCAGUAGAAACCGUACUUCGAGUAUCCAUACAACCAUUCU
rnacentral:lncRNA from 1 species